CUAGCAGUUCGGCUGAGAACUCUAGGGAGACUGCCGGUGACAAACCGGAGGAAGGUGGGGAUGACGUCAGGUCAUCUUGGCCCUUACGGCCAGGGCUACACACGUGCUACAAUGGUGCGUACAGAGGGCUGCAAACCCGCGAGGGGGAGCUAAUCUCACAAAACGCAUCGUAGUCCGGAUCGGAGUCUGCAACUCGACUCCGUGAAGUCGGAAUCGCUAGUAAUCGCGAAUCAGAAUGUCGCGGUGAAUACGUUCCCGGGCCUUGUACACACCACCCGUCACACCAUGGGAGUGGAUUGCACCAGAAGUGGUUAGUCUAACCUUCGGGAGGACG
rnacentral:rRNA from 1 species